ACCCGACCUUCCCAUUUUUCUCAGAGGUUCAGUCAAAGUCAUGGACAAAUUCAUCGUAUCAUCCCUGUUCUAUGGCUUCUUUGCCAUUUAUAUACUAUCAGGAUGUCUUUGUCUUGGCGCAGAAAAUUCAGAAGACAUUAGGGAAAUCGAAUGCUUCAAUUGCACCUCCGACUUCCUGAAGAAUGGAGAACGUGAUCCAUGCAUACUUGGUACCAGAUCUCUUCGAAUAGAUAAAUGCAAGGGCAAGAAUAUGGCUUGUGUGAAGGUUUACACUAAAAUAUAUCAAAUCAACAAAGGAGGUGUAAAAUGGGAGGACUCGCCAACAGUUGUUUCAAGAUUCUGCGAUACCCCACUUGAGUACAAACUCGGCUGCACCGACUUCGAUGCAAAUAAAGGCACGCAGAAUAUUUGUUUUUGUGAUACAGAUAAAUGCAACGGAGCGAGUCACAUGACAUUAUCCGCUGGAUUUGUUCUCAUUGCAAGUUUGGUAGCUUUACUGAUGUUUUGAUGUGCAAUUUAGGAUUUGAAUUUAAUAGAUUUUUCUUCAAUGCAGGGAUCAUUCCUCUAGUUCAGUGCCUGUACCCUAAUCAUUUUGGUCUUGAAGAUUAUUCUGCAUUGCUAUGCAAAUUAUUUGAAGAUGAGCCAUUGUAACUUAGAAAAUGUUCACAGGUGUUCUAAUUUUGGGGUCAAACCUGAUUUGCAAAAUUAACAAGCUCAAAAUGUUAUUAACUUAAUAUAAGGACUGCAAGCAAGGUGACAGAAUAGAAGAGUGUAGUGCAAUAUGUACCCUCCUUGCUUUCAACAGACAGAUUGUGAUAAGGCUCAAGACUGGGAGUGACGGUCAAGUGUUUUGAAACAGUAAAGUAUAGUGGUACAUUAUAAAGCACUAUAAUAACUUAAAUGUCAUUUUAAUUUUACAUUUCAAUUUGAUCAUGCAUUUUGCAUAAUGGAUCUCAAAAUACUCGCAUGCAGAAUGUUGUGGUAAAAGAUAUGCAACCGCAAAAAUCAACUGCGAAUAUUUCCGAGUUACAGUGGUUACUUACAAUAGCUAGUUUCUCUCUAAAAAUUGCAAUUGAUAUGUUUGGUCUCUGUUAGCUCUUGAUCACCAUAUUUUACCUGUCUAUGUGUGAGUGUUGUGUUUCUGGAGACACUUGAUGGAUAAAAAUGAAACAGGAAUUAGUUAGGUCUAUUAUUUUAUUGCAAUGCUCAAUCUCGUCAUGAGAAUGAGAAGUGCAGUUCUCACCUUUGCAAACUUGGAUCGUGGUUUGUGCCAGAUAACAGUUAGAACAUCCAAUGCCGGCAUUGAUCAAUACUUGUCUUGGAUUUUGAUGCAUGGUCUGGUAUUAUUACCUUCUGCAUGGUUGUUCAACUCCGCCACAUGUUUUGAGUUCAGUUAACAACACAGAUGAGUUUUAUACAAUGUUAUGUACAUUUGCUUCAAUGGUUGACUUUCUAACAGUCGCUCAGUUCAGAAUUGAUAGAUCUUUUGUUCUUGUGAGCCACCAUUGCAUACGAUUACUACACAGAAUUGUUGUAUAGAUCUAACCAUGGCCUCUUUAGAUAUAAUCUUUGUCGAUGAUUUAUUGCAUGUGUGUACAUAAAUGCUAUGUAUCAUGACUUCUUAAUUGUACAUUAACUGUUAACUGGGAAAUAAUCAUGGUAUGUGGGCUAAAAUUUAUAAUUCUUGGGAGCAGAAAAAUUAGUAAAACGCCAUGAUAUUGGUAAGAAUUAUACAAUGUUGUAUCAAAAUUAUUCAAAACUGCCAGAGUCGCAAUUUCAUGAAUUUGAAAUCAUUAACUCUCUCUAGUAUCAUAUCUUUGAAUAUUUCUCGAUUUACAAAUUUGCUGAGAUAUCACUUCAUGUUGGGCCUUGGAGAAUUGGACUUGAUGUUUUUGUCAAAAACCUAUAAUCCAGGAUCACAGUACCGUAGUUUUAGACAUUGUACCUACCAGUAGUACCUGUUAUUGGAACUCUCUGGUUUGACUUGUUAGAACAUUUCAUAAUUACUGUACAUGUAGCUCAUGCAAUAUCACUAUUACUCAAGUGCAAUAUAAUCAAGUUUAAAAGUUCUGCCAUUACUUAGGUAAUUACAUUGUGUUCAUGUGUGUAUGAAAGUUAUCUAUGAUGUACACAUAGUAAGAUCUGAAUGAAGUUUUAUUUGAAGUGGUGCUUAGUAUGAAUUGGACUCCUUCCAUCCUUGAAUGGACCUCUAGGCCUGAAAUAGAAGUAUGGCUUGACAAGUGACUUCAGGAGCCAUUGCCCUGUGAAGAAGACUCUUGCAGCGCAAAUGUCUGAUUGAAACAGUAACAGCCAGCCAGGUAUCUUGUUUGAACUGUUUGACGAUGGAGGGUUGGCUUUAGACGGGUAAUACCAAAAAUAUAUACUGGUAUGCCCUCACUUUACAUGAUUCUGGUUAUGUAGAAAUAUCUUUGAGUUUUAAGCUGGGAGGACGACAAUCUCAUUAUUGGCAAAAAGAAUUGUGUUUUUCUUGAUUUGUCUGCGAAGUUCUUUUAUUUACGUCAUUUGAGCAAAGCAUUUUAUUUUGUGUUAGGCCUAUUAGUCAUUAUAUAUAUAUCACCAUAAUAUGAGACCACCGAAAAAGAUACUGUUUGCUACAUGUGUGUUUAAUAUCAUAAGCUGGAUAAUAUCAUGAGUUAUGUAUGUAAUAAGAGUUGGCAUUCAAACUGAAGUUCUUAGUUGUCAACCUGUUAAUACUCUGAUUUUACAACUGUAUAAACAUUCGGCUGCUGGGGAUAACUGUUACUAUGGAACACCACUCACCGAAUUCAAUGAACCUCAUAGUAAUUGUGCAAAUAAUCAAAAUGGUAGUAUUAAGUGCAAUGUUUGUUUUAUUUUGCAUGUACUGGGUAUUCACCGCAUUUACAAUCAUGUGACCCCUUGUCAGUGUUACUGUUAAACCUCUGGUACGAUCAGGUUCCUGAUGCAGCAGAGAACAACCUAGUCUGGGUAAUUACCUGUUUGUUGUCUCAGCAAACACUGCAAGAGUGGAGCACCUUUCCAAGCUUUUGGGUGAAAUGACAGGAGCCAACCAAUACCAUCAAUGAGGUAACAAUUUCUUGUUCUAAUCUAAAAGUAUUCUUCAAACUACAAACUACAAACAUUUUGAUAUGUUAUUUUCUCAAAAUAAGAGAUGCAUCUUUCUUGCCUCUCCGGGUAAUUCCCUAAACCAUGUUGCUGCCUGAGGAACUUUGGUUGCACAUAAUUUACUCAAUAAUAGUCAUUUUACUCUUUGCAUAAUAGGUACUGUUGUGUUUUUGUUUGCUUAUGCUCGAUCAUGACAAGUUUAUUACUGUGUGAAUAAAGUGGAUAGGAUGUAUGUGAAA